rnacentral:rRNA from 1 species
CCUACGGGUGGCAGCAGUGGGGGAUAUUGCACAAUGGGGGAAACCCUGAUGCAGCGACGCCGCGUGUGUGAAGACGGUCCUCUGGAUUGUAAACCACUGUCCCCAGGGACGAAGAUGACGGUACCUGGGGAGGAAGCUCCGGCUAACUACGUGCCAGCAGCCGCGGUAAUACGUAGGGAGCGAGCGUUGUCCGGAAUUACUGGGUGUAAAGGGAGCGUAGGCGGGACUGCAAGUUGGGUGUCAAAUCUGCCGGCUCAACCGGUAGCCGCACUCAAAACUGCAGUUCUGGAGUGAAGUAGAGGCAGGCGGAAUUCCUAGUGUAGCGGUGAAAUGCGUAGAUAUUAGGAGGAACACCAGUGGCGAAGGCGGCCUACUGGGCUUUUACUGACGCUGAGGCUCGAAAGUGUGGGGAGCAAACAGGAUUAGAUACCCUAGUAGUC